rnacentral:rRNA from 1 species
GACGAACGCUGGCGGCGUGCUUAACACAUGCAAGUCGAGCGGAAAGGCCCUUUCGGGGGUACUCGAGCGGCGAACGGGUGAGUAACACGUGAGUAAUCUGCCUCUGGCUUCGGGAUAGCCACCGGAAACGGUGAUUAAUACCGGAUACGACGCAUCACUGCAUGGUGUGUGCGUGGAAAGUUUUUUCGGCCAGGGAUGUGCUCGCGGCCUAUCAGCUCGUUGGUGGGGUAAUGGCCUACCAAGGCUUCGACGGGUAGCCGGCCUGAGAGGGUAACCGGCCACACUGGGACUGAGACAUGGCCCAGACUCCUACGGGAGGCAGCAGUGGGGAAUAUUGGACAAUGGGCGGAAGCCUGAUCCAGCAACGCCGCGUGAGGGAUGACGGCCUUCGGGUUGUAAACCUCUUUCAGCACAGACGAAGCGCAAGUGACGGUAUGUGCAGAAGAAGGACCGGCCAACUACGUGCCAGCCGCCGCCGUAAAAC